rfam:Asian citrus Psyllid, Diaphorina citri - Florida Strain, whole genome shotgun sequence.
GCCUCGGUGGCGUAGUGGUCAAGACGCUCGCCUCACUCAUGUUUAGGAGGGCAUGGGUUCGAUCCCAGCCGAGGCA